CCUACGGGGGGCUGCAGUGGGGAAUAUUGCACAAUGGGCGCAAGCCUGAUGCAGCCAUGCCGCGUGUGUGAAGAAGGCCUUCGGGUUGUAAAGCACUUUCAGCGGGGAGGAAGGCGUUAAGGUUAAUAACCUUGUCGAUUGACGUUACCCGCAGAAGAAACACCGGCUAACUCCGUGCCAGCAGCCGCGGUAAUACGGAGGGUGCAAGCGUUAAUCGGAAUUACUGGGCGUAAAGCGCACGCAGGCGGUCUGUCAAGUCGGAUGUGAAAUCCCCGGGCUCAACCUGGGAACUGCAUUCGAAACUGGCAGGCUAGAGUCUUGUAGAGGGGGGUAGAAGUCCAGGUGUAGCGGUGAAAUGCGUAGAGAUCUGGAGGAAUACCGGUGGCGAAGGCGGCCCCCUGGACAAAGACUGACGCUCAGGUGCGAAAGCGUGGGGAGCAAACAGGAUUAGAUACCCCAGUAGUC
rnacentral:rRNA from 1 species